rnacentral:rRNA from 1 species
ACGACUCUCGGCAACGGAUAUCUCGGCUCAUGCAUCGAUGAAGAACGUAGCAAAAUGCGAUACUUGGUGUGAAUUGCAGAAUCCCGUGAACCAUCGAGUUUUUGAACGCAAGUUGCGCCCGAAGCCAUUCGGCUGAGGGCACGUCUGCCUGGGCGUCACGC